rnacentral:rRNA from 1 species
AUACGGUAGGGGGCAAGCGUUAGUCCGGUAUUUACUGGGUGUAAAGGGAGCGUAGACGGCACUGCAAGUCUGGAGUGAAAGCCCGGGGCUCAACCCCGGGACUGCUUUGGAAACUGUGGUGCUAGAGUGCAGGAGAGGUAAGUGGAAUUCCUAGUGUAGCGGUGAAAUGCGUAGAUAUUAGGAGGAACACCAGUGGCGAAGGCGGCUUACUGGACUGUAACUGACGUUGAGGCUCGGAAGCGUGGGGAGC